AUGGCAGCUGCCUCCACCGCCAUGGCAGCUGUCCCGGGGGGUUGGGGCUGCAGGGCAGGACAGAGGUUUUGGGAAAGCAUAGGGAGGGCGGCCCCAUGGUGCUGGACCGUGCUGGACCCAGAUGACCAGCAACCUCGGAAGAAAGUUUUUCUUCCCCUCCCUAUCUCCCAACCCCAGAAACCCCGUUCUGUCCUUUUUCCUUCCAGAAGGAGCAGGCAGAACCCUGGCCUCCUCCUCCUCAGUUCAGACAGCCCCAUCACCAAAGGGCCCAGACAAUUAAUUACCCACCAUCAUGGCGCCGUUUAGCCUUCAAUUUUCCUGACGACCACAAGGAUUAACUCAAUCUACGAGACUUCACUGGGCCAUUUAAGGGAGCAUCAUAACUCUUUCUGUUCCCCAGAAAUUGUAACCCGGACUCGGUUUUGUAAUGCUAAUUGCCUUAUCUUCAUAAAUUCUACAGUCUUACAUAAUUUACCCGCAUUGUAGCAGGAUUUCCCAAGAAUAAAAAAGCAGGUGCCGUCAAUGGUAAUUUGAAUAAGAAAAGACAUGUUAAGUGGUUCUUCUCUCACUAGUAAUAGAAAUUAAUUAGCUUUGAGCAGCUUUGGAGGUUUUUGCAUUUUUUGCUGUAACCUGUUAUGUUUUCUAAUUGUAUGGAAAGAAGGUUUGAUUUGAUCACAUUAUUUGGUGACGGAGAGGCCUCUGUUUGGAGUCAAAGGUACAGGAAGGGUGGCAGCGAGAAGUGUGGGAAGCCUCCGGAGGCGUGCAGAGAGUAUGGGCUUUGCAGUCAGGUAAACAUGAGUUCUGAGCAAGGGUGAGCCACUUGCUGGCUCUGCGACCCUGGACAAAUCACUUCCCC
rnacentral:lncRNA from 1 species